AGCAGGGAAGCAAUGUCAGUUCCCAUGACAUCUGCAGCUCUUCCCUAGACAUUCUAUUGUAUCCUGGAGAGCCCUGGCAUCCUCUGUGAUGUCACUAUGUUGUGGCAACACCCACUGUCCUUGGGAAGUAUAAUCAGUGCUUUCACCAUUUACUGAUGAACAUGAUGGAAUACUGAAGAGUCUAAAUUGGAAAGAGAAUGGAGAGGGUAGAGAGAACAGAGAGUGACAGAAGAAAGCUGAUCUUCAGCCUCCGUGUAAAACAUCAAGGAAGAAAUGAUCAAGAGAAUGGUGCAAUAAGUUCUGUACAGGAAAAGGGAAGCUUCCUGGAGGAAGUGGGCUUGAGCUGAAUCUUCCAGUAGUGGGGAAAAGAAAGUUGGAGUCUCUGAAAACCAACAGAACUUCCCUGCUUGUCAUGGCUCUUGAAAUUCAAGGAUUCCAGGAUAUAAAUUGUUUUGCUUCAGAAGUCAGGAACUGGUCCCAUCAUUGAGAAUUUCAUUUUGAAGAUAGGAGAAACGUUUUCAUCGACUCUGGAGAAUACACACCUGUGGAGUAGACACUAGGGAAAUUCUUAGACAGCUAUUUUGGCAAGCCUCCUGAGAGAGCUCAUGCAGCUCCACCUCCCAUCAUCUAAACAGCCUGCCUCUACAGGUGUAGGCUCAGAAUAGGUGUAAGUAAAUUGUUUGCAAAUC